AUUGAACGCUGGCGGCAGGCCUAACACAUGCAAGUCGAGCGGAUGAAGGGAGCUUGCUCCUGGAUUCAGCGGCGGACGGGUGAGUAAUGCCUAGGAAUCUGCCUGGUAGUGGGGGAUAACGUCAGGAAACGGGCGCUUAUACCGCAUACGUCCUGAGGGAGAAAGUGGGGGAUCUUCGGACCUCACGCUAUCAGAUGAGCCUAGGUGGGAUUAGCUAGUUGGUGGGGUAAUGGCCUACCAAGGCGACGAUCCGUAACUGGUCUGAGAGGGUGAUCAGUCACACUGGAACUGAGACACGGUCCAGACUCCUACGGGAGGCAGCAGUGGGGAAUAUUGGACAAUGGGCGAAAGCCUGAUGCAGCCAUGCCGCGUGUGUGAAGAAGGUCUUCGGAUUGUAAAGCACUUUAAGUUGGGAGGAAGGGCAGUAAGUUAAUACCUUGCUGUUUUGACGUUACCAACAGAAUAAGCACCGGCUAACUUCGUG
rnacentral:rRNA from 1 species